ACACUGACGUCGCGACGCAUAUCAAUAAGCGGAGGAAAAGAAACUAACAAGGAUUCCCUUAGUAACGGCGAGUGAAGCGGGAAGAGCUCAAAUUUGAAAUCUUCAAGGUUCUACCUUGACGAAUUGUAGUUUAAAGAAGUGUUUUCUGUUAGUGGAGUGGCAAAAGUUCUUUGGAAUAGGACAUCAUAGAGGGUGAGAAUCCCGUAUUUGGUCAUUCCUUCUAGCUUUGUGAUACACUUUCAAAGAGUCGGAUUGUUUGGGAAUGCAGUCCAAAAUGGGUGGUAAAUUUCAUCUAAAGCUAAAUAUUGGCGAGAGACCGAUAGCGAACAAGUACCGUGAGGGAAAGAUGAAAAGAACUUUGAAAAGAGAGUUAAACAGUACGUGAAAUUGUCAAAAGGGAAGCGUUUGACACCAGUGUUGUUUUUCUCGAAAAUCAAUUAAUAGACUGGAUUUUGUGGGUGUAUUGACUUUAUCAGGCUUUCCUUCUACUCUUUACUUGUAACUUUUGUAAUGCACUUUUCGGUUAACAAGUCAACAUCAAUUUCUUUUGUUGUAAAAGGGUCAUUGGAAGGUGGCUUUCUUUUCGGAGAAAGUGUUUAUAGCCUUUGGCCUCUGCAAUCGGAGAGAUUGAGGUCUGCAGCGUAGAUCCUUCGGGGUUAGAUACAUUUGUGCUAAGUUAUAGCCUUUCAUAGACAACUUGUUGACUAUGAUCAGUCAUGUAGCUUACUCGCUUAUGCUAUUUUACCUACGCUUAGGAUGUUGAGUCGUAGAGCACGCAG
rnacentral:rRNA from 1 species